GAAAGAUGGCUUCGGCUAUCACUUACAGAUGGGCCCGCGGCGCAUUAGCUAGUUGGUGAGGUAACGGCUCACCAGGGCGACGAUGCGUAGCCGACUGAGAGGGUGAUCGGCCACACUGGGACUGAGACACGGCCCAGACUCUACGGGAGGCAGCAGUAGGGAAUCUUCCGCAAUGGACGAAAGUCUGACGGAGCAACGCCGCGUGAGCGAUGAAGGCCUUCGGGUCGUAAAGCUCUGUUGUUAGGGAAGAAUAAGUGCUAGUUGAAUAAGCUGGCACCUUGACGGUACCUAACCAGAAAGCCACGGCUAACUACGUGCCAGCAGCCGCGGUAAUACGUAGGUGGCAAGCGUUGUCCGGAAUUAUUGGGCGUAAAGCGCGCGCAGGCGGUUUCUUAAGUCUGAUGUGAAAGCCCCCGGCUCAACCGGGGAGGGUCAUUGGAAACUGGGAAACUUGAGUGCAGAAGAGGAAAGUGGAAUUCCAAGUGUAGCGGUGAAAUGCGUAGAGAUUUGGAGGAACACCAGUGGCGAAGGCGACUUUCUGGUCUGUAACUGACGCUGAGGCGCGAAAGCGUGGGGAGCAAACAGGAUUAGAUACCCUGGUAGUCCACGCUGUAAACGAUGAGUGCUAAGUGUUAGAGGGUUUCCGCCCUUUAGUGCUGAAGUUAACGCAUUAAGCACUCCGCCUGGGGAGUACGGUCGCAAGACUGAAACUCAAAGGAAUUGACGGGGGCCCGCACAAGUGGUGGAGCAUGUGGUUUAAUUCGAAGCAACGCGAAGAACCUUACCAGGUCUUGACAUCCUCUGACAACCCUAGAGAUAGGGCUUUCCCUUCGGGGACAGAGUGACAGGUGGUGCAUGGUGUC
rnacentral:rRNA from 2 species